UACAGAGGGUGCAAGCGUUGUUCGGAAUUAUUGGGCGUAAAGCGCGUGUAGGCGGCUUUGCAAGUCGGGUGUGAAAGCCCUCAGCUCAACUGAGGAAGUGCGCCCGAAACUGCUUAGCUUGAGUAUCGGAGAGGAUGGCGGAAUUCCCCAAGUAGAGGUGAAAUUCGUAGAUAUGGGGAGGAACACCGGUGGCGAAGGCGGCCAUCUGGACGAUCACUGACGCUGAGACGCGAAAGCGUGGGGAGCAAACAGG
rnacentral:rRNA from 1 species